GCCGGAAUUGCUCAGUUGUGAGAGCGUUAAACUACAGUUGUUUACGCAACAGUCAUCUAAAGGCCCUCCGGUUCAAUCCCGGGUUCCGGCA
rnacentral:tRNA from 1 species